rnacentral:rRNA from 1 species
UCCAUUAGCUCACUAAUGGCCUGCCGGAAUACUGCAGAGCUAGGAAGUGGGAGAGGUAGACGGUACUCGGUAGGAAGGGGUAAAAUCCUUUGAUCUAUUGAUGACCACCUGUGGCGAAGGCGGUCUACCAGAACACGUUCGACGGUGAGGGAUGAAAGCUGGGGGAGCAAACCGGAUUAGAUACCCGGGUAGUCCCAGCUGUAAACGAUGCAGACUCGGUGAUGCGCUGGCUUGUGGCCAGUGCAGUGCCGCAGGGAAGCCGUUAAGUUUGCCGCCUGGGAAGUACGUACGCAAGUAUGAAACUUAAAGGAAUUGGCGGGGGAGCACCACAAGGGGUGAAGCCUGCGGUUCAAUUGGAGUCAACGCCAGAAAUCUUACCCGGAGAGACAGCAGAAUGAAGGUCAAGCUGAAGACUUUACCAGACAAGCUGAGAGGUGGUGCAUGGCCGCCGCCAGCUCGUGCCGUGAGAUGUCCUGUUAAGUCAGGUAACGAGCGAGAUCCCUGCCUCUAGUUGCCACCAUUACUCUCAGGAGUAGUGGGGCGAAUUAGCGGGACCGCCACAGUUAAUGUGGAGGAAGGAAGGGGCCACGACAGGUCAGUAUGCCCCGAAUC